UUGCUUAUUUUGUUUUUUGCUCAGACCACAUUGAAAAUCGGAGUUUAAGGGUCUCUGGCAAGCACUCGCUGGCGACAGCCGGCGUGAGGCGACCUCAGGGCCUGCCAAAGCAACAAAGGUGAGGUAUACAAAGGGUGAAGAGGGCGGGGCCGAAGCCCCGCACUGGCUCAUACGUCCAGUUCUCUUUAAUGAUCCUUCCGCAGGUUCACCUACGGAAA
rnacentral:misc_RNA from 1 species